UACGGAGGGGGCUAGCGUUGUUCGGAAUUACUGGGCGUAAAGCGCGCGUAGGCGGCUUUCUAAGUCGGGGGUGAAAUCCUGGAGCUCAACUCCAGAACUGCCUUCGAUACUGGAGAGCUUGAGUCCGGGAGAGGUGAGUGGAACUGCGAGUGUAGAGGUGAAAUUCGUAGAUAUUCGCAAGAACACCAGUGGCGAAGGCGGCUCACUGGCCCGGUACUGACGCUGAGGUGCGAAAGCGUGGGGGGCAAACAGG
rnacentral:rRNA from 1 species